rnacentral:rRNA from 1 species
GUCUACAGCCACGCUACCCUGAACAAGCCCGAUCCUGUCUGAUCUUGGAAGCUAAGCAGGGUCAGGCCUGGUUAGUACUUGGAUGGGAGACCACCUAGGAAGAGCAGGUGCUGUAGGCA